AUUGAACGCUUGCGGCAGGCUUAACACAUGCAAGUCGAGCGGGGGAAGGUAGCUUGCUACCGGACCUAGCGGCGGACGGGCGAGUAAUGCUUAGGAAUCUGCCUAUUAGUGGGGGACAACAUCUCGAAAGGGAUGCUAAUACCGCAUACGUCCUACGGGAGAAAGCAGGGGAUCUUCGGACCUUGCGCUAAUAGAUGAGCCUAGGUCAGAUUAGCUCGUUGGUGGGGUAAAUGCCUACCAAGGCGACGAUCUGUAGAGGGCCUGAGAGGAUGAUCCGCCACACUGGGACUGAGACACGGCCCAGACUCCUACGGGAGGCAGCAGUGGGGAAUAUUGGUCAAUGGGGGUAACCCUGAUCCAGCCAUGCCGCGUGUGUGAAGAAGGCCUUAUGGUUGUAAAGCACUUUAAGCGAGGAGGAGGCUACUUUAGUUAAUACCUAGAGAUAGUGGACGUUACUCGCAGAAUAAGCACCGGCUAACUCUGUGCCAGCCGCCGCAGUAA
rnacentral:rRNA from 1 species